rnacentral:lncRNA from 1 species
UGAUAAACUACAUCAUCAGCAUUUAUUCUGUAAUUGGCUUUAGCUUUAGUAAGGCCUUGUAAUGUUGCAUUAAUAUUGCAUCUUCUCAGCAUGGUCAAACCCAAGGGGAGAGGGAGACACAUUUUUGUCUGCUCUGGUGAUCUAGGUUUUCUACAGGUAGAGUGGCCAUAGAGCACACCACCCAAACUGGGACAUUCUGGUGAAGGGGUGAGGACACUCUUCAUCAUAACACUGGGCAGCAGGUGAAAACCACUUGUUUUUUUCCAGGAGCAUGUAGAUUUUCCUUCUGAUGGUCACAGGCCAGUGUUGACCUUGGUUCAGGGGUUCUGUUGUAACAAUUCUCCUAGAUGCUGAUCUCCAAACUGAGUACUUUACACACCAACAUGGAGCAAAAUACAUUUCUUUGAUUUUAAUCUAGUUUUAGGAAAAAAUGGUCUAAGAUCAAGUAAGAAGUCUGGGAUUAGAACUGAGCAAGUUCUCCUGCCUUCUGGGGGCUAUGCUAUCUUUACAGCCAAAGACUAGAAACAGUGAGGAGUUAUUCUAAGUAAACAACAUUGAUUUUUGAGUUCCAUUUUUGCUGUGGGAAGAGAGAUGCUUAUGGCUCAGUCCUUGUUCUGAACUCCAAGGUGAGAAAUUUUGUUCAGUAGACUGUGCUAUUUCCUAUCAACAGGUUUAUAAUGGGCUACCAAGUUCAUGCUCAAAGGCUUGGAAUUGGCAACCAGUUAUCAAGAAAUCAUACAUCAUGUAUGCUGUUGAGACAGAGACACAUCAUGAAAAUAGCUAACAUGGAAAGGGAAUAGGAAGUUUUGGAUAAUCAGGCUCUAAUACCUGAUCUUGCCAACUGGGGAAAAGUAUGUUAAUUGUGGAAUGUAUGUCUCUGUUUCAUAAAGUCAAGGGUAAUAUCACUACCUUUCAACUAUUUGUUGAGAUUUUUAAGUGAAUUAAGUACAUAGACAGGAAGCCUUUUGCAAAUCUUGGUUCUCUCUUCUUUUUACUUAAAGUCAAACCCCAAGUUCUGUAACGAGACUGUUCUACUGUAUUUUUCACAUCAAUGACAUAAAUUCACAUUCUUUCUUAUCUCUUCCUUUUUCUGUCUUCAAUUCUCCCUACCUCCUUUUCUGUCUUAUUCAAGCAAAGAAUUACUGUGGCCAAAGCAUUAUGAAACAUAACAUCCUGCACACAAAGAAAUAAUUUGAUAGAAUUAGAAAUUUGACCUUUAAAAAAUCUUUGUUAUCAAAAUAAUUAGACUUUUAAUUAAGCCUAAGAAAAGUUUGUUUAUAAGACCUUUAGUGAAGAAUUCCGAUGACCACAUCUCUUAUAAAGCUAACACUUAAACGAAUGCAAAAACUAAGGACAUUUUUUUUUUCUGCUGGAGGGUAAAAUUGUCUCUAGCAAAUAGAUAUACAAAUAUUAACUUUAAAUAAAAAGCUCUUCAAAUUUAGUCUGAUUCAUUAAACCCAAAUAUUAGAAUAUGUAAAUAUUUCAGUCUCUUACUAUCCUUAGAAAUGUCUGUAUUGUGUUCAUGUGUGUUUUUACUCUUUUCUUUGACCCUCUCCCUCUGGCUUUCAAUAAUGUUUCCUGGAAUGGAACCAGAGUCACAAAGGGAUUUACAAAAAUGGAAUGAAGGAACAUGGGUACAAAAAAGAGAGGGAAGUGGAGGAAUCAAACUCUUUUGUCUUGGUUUGGGAGAUGGUGAGGGCAUCUAAGGAUUUAUUGUAUGAAUAUCAUUUUUUCGGUACUUUAAGCAUCAGCAGCUGGGUUCCGGUAAUUGAAUGUUGAUUACUGCAUCAAGAAGUGAGAAGGAGAUGUUAAUUAGAUAAAAUUGUCUGAAGAAAAUAGCAACAUUGGGAAACCUGGGACACAAGAAAGACUUUCUGCAAGUUGGUUUAACAAGGGAAAUUUUCCCCUUCUCAUCCCAAUCUUCCUUUCUCUAGCCUCUCAAAAAUCCUAAGAAUCCUCCUACAACCUCUUUCUAUCCUGAGCAAGUCACUGCUCCACAGCACAGGGUCUGGGAUAAUGCCAACCUGUCCAGUGAUGGAAAUCUGGGGAUUUGAACAUGGCUCAGCAGCAGCAGCACCACCACCAAUUAAAGACCUCUUCCCCAAUGAAGUCAAUUUCAAGCAUAAAAUACUAUCCCUCAUUAGAGUAGAAAAUUGGGGAUGUUUUGGAUGAGAGAGUUAACUUUGUACUUUCCGGACCAGUGAGGAGGAAGGCUCCAGGCUGCCAUAGUGGAGAUGCAGGAGAGAAGCUGCUCCGAGUUGCAAUCCUCAAUGACAUCCCCAUCUGGGUCCCUUUUCCAAUUUUCUUGAGAUUGAGAUCAAUACCUCUAAAUGAAGAUCUUCUAUUUCUCUCCCCAUCCCCCCAGAAGUUCCCUGGGCCACAACAGUGACCUGAGCGGUAGCAGUGAUGAUGCUGGAUCCUUAACCUGCUGAAUCACCAGCGAACUCCUCUUUGCAUGCUUUUAUUAGGAAUCAUCAUAAGUCUUUAGAGAAAACUUUGGAGUGGGUUUUUAGUUCGGGGGCGGGGUGAUGUGUAGUUUUGUAGAAGGAUAGGGAUGUGUGGAAGGGUAAGGUAGAGACGUCUUCCUAUUGAGUGCUAGAAGGGCAUGCACUUAAUAGUCACCAUGACUGUGGUCAUUGCCACAUGGCAUCACAUGCUUUUUUUUGGGGGGGGGGAUUAUCAGAGCACUAAGAGUCCCAGGAGUAAAAGCACUAUUUUUCCUAUUUACUGAAUGGAAUUUUUGACCAGAAAUAGUUGGGUUUCACAGACAAGGAGUAGGUAAUUAAAAUAUCAUUAAAUGUAUUGGAUUUACUGAAAAGCGGAAAACAUAACCAUCAGUCACGUGAGUAAAGAGAACGUGCAUCUCUCACUUAUCACUUUAGGGGAAAAAAAAGCAGCAGUAGGGCCAAUCAUCUCAACCUAAUUGGGGAAUUCCAAUGCUAAAAAAUCCCAAGAUGCUGCCUGAUUUUCAGAAAUACUUGCUAUAAGAGUCAAAUAUGGGAGAUAGAAACACUGUGCUAACUUAUCGAAUCUGCCCUAGAUACAUUCCCCAUGCUUCAUCUUAUUGACAGAGAAGUUAUUAAAAAAUCUAGGUUUCUAAUUUGCAUUCUAGGACUAUCAGAGUGAAGACCUGGGGGCACUUCUUCUUCAUGUGUUUAGCUUUGGGGACUUUGACUAUAGAAAUAAUUACUUAGAUAUUUAAUAGUGAAGGGAUAAGAGAGAAAUUCUGUGUGUCUAAUCCACAUUUUUGGUUCCUGGCAAGAAUUCAGUGAUUAAAGUUAAGAAGUCAAUACUGUGAUUAACAUUCUAUUUAAUGUGUCAGUCUUAGUAAUGUACUAUUUAAAAUAAUCUUUCUUUGUAAAAGUGCCUGCUAAGGAAAAUAUAUGUAUUUGGUUUGGGAUACAUGACCUUCUAGAAUAGUGGUGUGCUGGUAAAUAUUUAAUAACAGGAAAAAAAGUCCCUCUGUUUUGUAGCCAUUACUGAUUUCUAUGGUGUAAAUACUGAUUUCUACAGUAUAAAUACCAAAGCCUAUAACUACCUGACAUGAUAGCACAGUUAUAAAAUUUGUGAAAAAUUAUCAAUUGACUCUUGCAAAGUUGGUAUAAUUUGGAUCCAACACAUAGUUACCGAAAGAUAGUUUACUUGUUACUAGUUUUAUAUAUAAUCACUACAGCAGUAUUUUACAUAUAAUAUAUUACUUUGGAUAUAAACUGUAUAUGAUCAAAUGUGACAAAUUGCCUGCAUUAAAAAAAAAAAGUCACUGAGUACAAAAUACUGGUGUGCCUCAUUUUACAAAACUGAUUCUUUCUGAAGAGCUGCAAGUGAAUUGAAAGCUUCUCCAGUUCAUUAUGAGAGAAAAAUAAUUGUACUUGCAUGUCUUAAAAUGGAAAUUUCAUUUGUUACAAAUGUGCAUAUUUAGUUUCUCUUUUAUGUGACUGCAUUUUCAUAUUUGGGAGCUAUGUAGUAAAGUGAGUGAGGCUCUUAAUCAUAUGCGAUACUGAUGAUUUGGGAACAUGUGUCUAUUAGACCUCAUCUUGAGGACUGGAAGGUAUUACAGACUAAUGGUUAAGCCUGUGGGUUCUUGAGUCAGACUAGCUGCCAUCUGCUACCUGAAUGAAGUUGGGAAGUUAUUUAACCUGUCUCAGUUUUCCUUCUGCAAAAUGGGAUAAUAACAGUAUCUACUUCAUAGAAUUAUUGCAGCCUUCAACAAGUUUAAUAUGUGUAAAUAAUUUAGAGCAGUGCUUGUAAACCUAUAAGGACCACAUACGGCUGUUUUUAUGGCUGCUAAUGAUAUAUUUGGGGAUGGCAAUUGACUUAAGAAUAUAGAACUUACAAAUAUUGCCUUAGGUAAGUUGUUCUCAAGGUAGGGUGGCCAGCAAUCUGUGUUUUACCAAGCCCUGCAGUAGAUCUAAUGCACACUGAAAUUUGAGAAGCACUGUUCAGCAUUACCACAGGGAAUUCUUGUGUUCUACAAGAGCAUUCUUUCCAGAGGACUUGACUGAUCGUUUGAAGACUACCUGUAGCAGAAUCACUUUCAGAGCUUGUUUAAAAUGAUGCACAUUUGUGUAAAAUAUGAGACCAUACUUAAAUAAGCCUUUGACUGUGAAUAAAAUAUGUCUAGAAG